rnacentral:rRNA from 1 species
GAUCAUGGCUCAGGACGAACGCUGGCGGCGCGCCUAACACAUGCAAGUCGAACGAGCGAGAGAGAGUUUACUUUUUCGAGCGAGUGGCGAACGGGUGAGUAACGCGUGAGGAACCUGCCUCAAAGAGGGGGACGAACAGUUGGAAACGACUGCUAAUACCGCAUAAGCCCACGACCCGGCAUCGGGUAGAGGGAAAAGGAGCAAUCCGCUUUGAGAUGGCCUCGCGUCCGAUUAGCUAGUUGGUGAGGUAACCGG